rnacentral:rRNA from 1 species
UACGUAGGGUGCAAGCGUUAAUCGGAAUUACUGGGCGUAAAGCGCACGGUAGGCGGAUUGUUAAGUCGGGGGUGAAAUCCUGGAGCUCAACUCCAGAACUGCCUUCGAAACUGGCGAUCUUGAGUUCGGGAGAGGUGAGUGGAACUGCGAGUGUAGAGGUGAAAUUCGUAGAUAUUCGCAAGAACACCAGUGGCGAAGGCGGCUCACUGGCCCGAUACCUGACGCUGAGGUGCGAAAGCGU